UGCUGACGAGCGGCGGACGGGUGAGUAAUGCUUGGGAAUAUGCCUUUUGGUGGGGGACAACAGUUGGAAACGACUGCUAAUACCGCAUAAUGUCUACGGACCAAAGUGGGGGACCUUCGGGCCUCACGCCAAAAGAUUAGCCCAAGUGGGAUUAGCUAGUUGGUAAGGUAAUGGCUUACCAAGGCAACGAUCCCUAGCUGGUUUGAGAGGAUGAUCAGCCACACUGGGACUGAGACACGGCCCAGACUCCUACGGGAGGCAGCAGUGGGGAAUAUUGCACAAUGGGCGCAAGCCUGAUGCAGCCAUGCCGCGUGUGUGAAGAAGGCCUUCGGGUUGUAAAGCACUUUCAGUAAGGAGGAAAGGGUAGUCUUUAAUAGAGGCUAUCUGUGACGUUACUUACAGAAGAAGCACCGGCUAACUCCGUGCCAGCAGCCGCGGUAAUACGGAGGGUGCGAGCGUUAAUCGGAAUUACUGGGCGUAAAGCGUACGCAGGCGGUUUGUUAAGCGAGAUGUGAAAGCCCCGGGCUCAACCUGGGAACUGCAUUUCGAACUGGCAAACUAGAGUGUGAUAGAGGGUGGUAGAAU
rnacentral:rRNA from 1 species